GACGAACGCUGGCGGCGUGCUUAACACAUGCAAGUCGAACGGAAAGGCCCUGCUUUUGUGGGGUUCUCGAGUGGCGAACGGGUGAGUAACACGUGAGUAACCUGCCCUUGACUUUGGGAUAACUUCAGGAAACUGGGGCUAAUAUCGGAUAGGAGCUCCUGCUGCAUGGUGGGGGUUGGAAAGUUUCGGCUGUUGGGGAUGGUCUCGCGGCUUAUCAGCUUGUUUGUGAGGUAGUGGCUUACCAAGGCUUUGACGGGUAGCCGGCCUUGGAGGGUGAACGGCCACAAUGGGACUGAGAGACGGACCAGACGCCAACGGGAGGCAGCAGUGGGGAAUAUUGCACAAUGGGCGGAAGCCUGAUGCAGAAACGCCGCGUGCGGGAUGACGGCCUUCUGGGUGUAAACAGCUUUCGACUGAGACGAAGCGUGAGUGACGGUAAUGGGUAAAGAAGCACCGGCUAACUACGUG
rnacentral:rRNA from 1 species